GAGGUCUGUCCGUGGUAUUUAUCAGCGGGUUCCAUUUAUUUCGGAUCCCCGGGUAGAAUUUGAGGGUACUUGUUCAGACGAUGAAUGGUUCUGUUGGUGACCGUUGAUUCUGAAGUAUGGGUUCUAAGUUGAUGACCAUUGUUCUAUGGUUCCCGGUUCCGGAUUCAUGCUGAAGUUCUGAUCCUAUGCCUUGUGAUACACAACCAACCAGCCAUGGUUCC
rnacentral:lncRNA from 1 species